rnacentral:rRNA from 1 species
GACGAACGCUGGCGGCGUGCCUAAUACAUGCAAGUUGAGCGCUGAAGGUUGGUACUUGUACCAACUGGAUGAGCAGCGAACGGGUGAGUAACGCGUGGGGAAUCUGCCUUUGAGCGGGGGACAACAUUUGGAAACGAAUGCUAAUACCGCAUAAAAACUUUAAACACAAGUUUUAAGUUUGAAAGAUGCAAUUGCAUCACUCAAAGAUGAUCCCGCGUUGUAUUAGCUAGUUGGUGAGGUAAAGGCUCACCAAGGCGAUGAUACAUAGCCGACCUGAGAGGGUGAUCGGCCACAUUGGGACUGAGACACGGCCCAAACUCCUACGGGAGGCAGCAGUAGGGAAUCUUCGGGAAUGGACGAAAGUCUGACCGAGCAACGCCGCGUGAGUGAAGAAGGUUUUCGGAUCGUAAAACUCUGUUGGUAGAGAAGAACGUUGGUGAGAGUGGAAAGCUCAUCAAGUGACGGUAACUACCCAGAAAGGGACGGCUAACUACGUG